rnacentral:lncRNA from 1 species
GUUUCAUCAUGUUGGCCAGGCUGGUCUCAAUGACCUCAGGUCAUCCACCUGCCUCAGCCUCCCAGAGUGCUGGGAUUACAGGCGUGAGCCACUGCUCCUGGCCUCAGUAGAUCCUUUUAGCUAACUUUUUCCACUUGGUUUGUGCAUUUCUUCACCAUGCUGAGCUGACAGAUACGUAUAAGCUAUGUGGUAUAGAGGCAACUUUUUUUUUUUUCAGGCAACCUCAAGAGGGCUGAAAAAGUUUAUAAAAUGUUCUGGAGAUGCAUUCAUUGAGGCUCAGUAACUAAAGCUUAACUCAGCCUUUGAGGAAUUUAUGCUCCUCUUGAGAAUCAGCUUUGCCCCUUUGUCUUGCUCAGCCCACUGGUGGGGGUCAAUGGGCACACAAGAACUCCCAUGGCAACAGCAGGUGCUUCUCAUUCAAAUUCAAACUGGUCAGUUUCUUUCCUUUGUUCACUCUGCUCUCCUAAAACCAUCAUCCCAGUCUCCUUGCUGCAAAACUUGCCAAGUCAUGAGAGGUAAGUCAUAAAAAGUUGAACGCUUGACUUUUCGGGCUUUAUAGAUAGGUUUGUUUGCAGAUACGCAGCAUUAAAGAGAAUUUAGCUACCUGUCAUUUCUCUGACAGCGCACCCCAAGGUUGUGAACCCCUCAGACAUGUCCAGUUCUUCUCUUACAACCAAACCUGUCUUCCCAGACACUUCUGAAUGAGGAGGCCUAGGAAGAAAGAGGAAAAGAGAGAGAGAAAGUGUGCACGCACAGGCGCACAAACACAAAAUCCGGCUUCCACGGAGGACAGCAGCAGCCUGCUGCACAGUGGGGACCAAGAGAUACAAGGCUGCCCAUGUAACAGAUGCAAGUUUCCCGUGCUCCGGUUCAGCUGGGAAUGCAGGCUGUAAAGCUGAAAUAAAUCACAUGGAACUUGCUGUCAUCUCUCUACCUUCCUGCUAAACCCUUCGACACUGCCGCUUGACUGGCUGGAGUCGUCGUAGUUUUUAAAUGAAGGCUGGAAACUGGCAUUGGCAGCACUGCCUAAUUUUUAGCUAAUACCUUUGUGGGUUCUGCGCUCGCAUCUGGCCAGUGCCAUCAUGCUGGGGAUGAUUAUAAUAGGCUGCUGCUCUUUCCCAAGCAGGAAGCUGGAGUCCUGUAACUGACAGGCUAAACAGAAGCUUGUUCCAAACACAACAGCACAUCACAGCCAGAGAAGGGUCUGCGGUGCGGGACUUCUCCCAAGGCAUAAAAAAGAGAGAGAGAGAGAGAGAGAAAUGUGUUAACUGUGCUAACAGUGCCAAGUAAUAUGCUUCGUUAAAAAUUUAAUCACCUACAAGUGCAAAACAAGUGCAAAGCAAUCAUGUUGUAAUUAGCACAGCAAUUAACACCUCCCUUUUCGAUAGCACAUGCAUCCUAGGAAGGGCAGGAUUGCAAGUGUUUAUGCUGCUGACAGCCUCAGUUCCUAUAGAGAGGGAAAAAAUUGCUUAAAGAGAAUUUUUUGGUUUCUGGCAUUUGGGCUUUUAUGUGUUCAUGAAACCUCAGAACCAGCUGCCAUUUUGGUUUUGUGUGAAAGUUGUUCAGCUGUGUGGUAAAACUAACUAACUUCCCCAUUUUGUGUGUUAGCUAAAGCUUCUCACUAGCACCACCUUCACCUUUUCUAACAUUAAAA